CUUAAAGAAAUAUGUAGUCCGUUACAAUCAAAUUAUACUGAAACUUAAAUUAGAUACUCAUAUAGUUGAAUUACAAGCACUCUUAGCAAACUGGUAAUAAAAUCCUAAUAACGAUCUGUACCAAGCUUUUGGUAAAAAGGGACUGCUCCGCUUUGGUAACAACGAAUAUUACUAGGUUUAUUACUGGGAGGUACAUAUGCAUGUCCACACACUGGUUACGUUCAUUUGUACUGCUUGGUAAAUAUCUUUAACUAUCAGGUUAUAAUUUAUUACAAUUUGGUAAUGAAUCGUUCUUCGUAACCACUUCGAAAUAAGACGUAUUACUGGGCGGUAAAUAGUUUUUACCGGUCGGAAGAGUUGAGUGGUACAAUUGGGUAGAAAAACCUUUCAGUCACAUGUAAGCGAGUCUGUUGCCUAGCAAUACGUCCAACAAGAAUAAACUUGUGCAAGUUUCCAGCUUAUUGAGAGGAUAGAAGCUUGCAAUUUUGAGGAAUUUAUUUCUAGAGCGCUGACAAAGUUUAAUCUGCUCCCUGACGUAGAUCCAGUGACUUUCAGAAGAUCCAGUCCUUUGAGAACGAUCAAGUGACUGAAGUCGAUAAUUUAUCCUGCCCCCCCCCCCACUCAACAUAGCCAUCCAUCGGGUCAUCGUCAAAUCACCAUUAGGAGGAAAAUAAUUUCAGAUUUUAAAUCCUUUGUCGCAUAAUUAACUGAUUAAGUCGCCGACAGCAAUACAACGGCCUGUUUUCGACCGUGCAGCUGCAACAAUUAGUAAAAUUAAAGAUAUAAAUUAAAUAUACAUAAAUAUUAUAAUGCUAUUUUAAAUGAAAAAUAAAUUUAUAUUAAUUUUUACCACCA